GGCCCCUAUGGCUCAGUGGUAGAGCGUCGGCUUCGUAAGCGGAAGGUCUGCAGUUCGAUCCUGUAUGGGCCA